GCCCCGGUAGCUCAGCUGGUGGAGCGCCGCCUUGGUAAGGCGGAGGUCGCGGGUUCGAAUCCCGCCCGGGGCU
rnacentral:tRNA from 1 species